UACGGAGGAUCCAAGCGUUGUCCGGAUUUAUUGGGUUUAAAGGGUGCGUAGGCGGACUAUUAAGUCAGAGGUGAAAGUUUGCAGCUUAACUGUAAAAUUGCCUUUGAAACUGGUAGUCUUGAGUAUAGUUGAGGUGGGCGGAAUGUGUCAUGUAGCGGUGAAAUGCUUAGAUAUGAUACAGAACACCGAUUGCGAAGGCAGCUCACUAAACUAUAACUGACGCUGAGGCACGAAAGCGUGGGGAGCGAACAGG
rnacentral:rRNA from 1 species